rnacentral:hammerhead_ribozyme from 1 species
AUCCAACCGAAGAGCCCUAAAUAGGACGAAACGCAAGUCCUGAAU